UUGAACAUUCAAUUGACUAUCUCAAGCUUACAUGCAUAUAUAAAGAGCCCUGUUCUUGUUCUUUACUUUCUUCAUACCAUAAAAUAAUAAAAACUUGAUCACUAAAUCAUACCAACAAAAUGGUAUUGUUGCCAAAGCUUCGAUUGAUUGUCAUCCUCGUCAUAUGUUGUCUCCUAGUUACUUAUCAAUCAACAGAUGUAAGAGAGAAUGGUUAUCAUCCAAGUUGGUGCGUCUAUAGAGGUCCAUGCCAAACCCACAGAGAUUGUAAGAGACAAUGUCGACCACCGGACUUCCCACCGUUUACAAUUGGCUUAUGCCAACCCAAUCCUAGAGGUCAUGGCAAAAUUUGUUGUUGUGCCAAAGAUUAAUUCUCCGAUAUUAUAGACUAAUUAAAAACAAAAUAUAACUCUAUCUACUUCUUAAUAUCGACAUAAUAAUUUGUGGUUGUGCCAAAGAAUAAUUUUCCGAUAUUUAUAGCCUAACUAUAUUUUAAUGCGGUAUACCGUUAUAUAAAUUUUAUAAAAAAAGCCUAAUUUUUUUUAAAAAUA